GGACGGGUUAGUAACGCGUGGGAACGUACCCUUCGGUAAGGAAUAGCCACUGGAAACGGUGAGUAAUACCUUAUACGCCCUUCGGGGGAAAGAUUUAUCGCCGAGGGAUCGGCCCGCGUUAGAUUAGAUAGUUGGUGGGGUAAUGGCCUACCAAGUCUACGAUCUAUAGCUGGUUUUAGAGGAUGAUCAGCAACACUGGGACUGAGACACGGCCCAGACUCCUACGGGAGGCAGCAGUGGGGAAUCUUGGACAAUGGGCGCAAGCCUGAUCCAGCCAUGCCGCGUGAGUGAUGAAGGCCUUAGGGUCGUAAAGCUCUUUCGCCAGGGAUGAUAAUGACAGUACCUGGUAAAGAAACCCCGGCUAACUCCGUGCCAGCAGCCGCGGUAAUACGGAGGGGGUUAGCGUUGUUCGGAAUUACUGGGCGUAAAGCGCACGUAGGCGGAUUGGAAAGUUGGGGGUGAAAUCCCGGGGCUCAACCCCGGAACUGCCUCCAAAACUCCCAGUCUAGAGUUCGAGAGAGGUGAGUGGAAUUCCGAGUGUAGAGGUGAAAUUCGUAGAUAUUCGGAGGAACACCAGUGGCGAAGGCGGCUCACUGGCU
rnacentral:rRNA from 1 species